rnacentral:rRNA from 1 species
AAGGAAGGAGAGAAGGGCGCACGGGGGAUGCCCAGGCUCUUGGCGGCGAAGAAGGACGCGACAAGCUGCGAAAAGCUCCGGGGAGGUGCAAAUGACCGUAGAUCCGGAGGUGUCCGAAUGGGGCAACCCGUAUGGUUGAGGACCAUACAUUCCGUGCCUAGGUGUGCGGAAGGCGAACGCGGGGAACUGAAACAUCUAAGUACCCGUAGGAGAAGAGAACAAAAGUGAUUCCGCGAGUAGUGGCGAGCGAAAGCGGAGGAGCCCAAACCGCAGGGGUCGAGGCCCGUGCGGGGUAGAAGGACCAGCGAUAAGUAUAUGGCGGCGUUAUCGGAAAUACCUGGAAAGGUAUACCGGAGAGGGUGAGAGUCCCGUAUGAGAAAGCGCGGUCAUGGCGGGCUGGGAUCCUGAGUAAGGCGGGACCGGAGGAAUCCUGUCUGAAUCUGCCGGCACCAUCCGGCAAGGCUAAAUACGACCAAGAGACCGAUAGCGAACGAGUACCGUGAGGGAAAGGUGAAAAGAACCCCGAGCAGGGGAGUGAAAGAGAACCUGAAACCGUGCGCCUACAAGCGGUCGGAGCCCUUUUUUAUGGGGGGUGACGGCGUGCCUUUUGCAUAAUGAGCCUACGAGUUGCCGUCGCCGGCGAGGUUAAGGACCGGGAGGUCCGGAGCCGAAGUGAAAGCGAGCCUGAAGAGGGCGUAGAGUCGGCGGAGGCAGACGCGAAACUUAGUGAUCUACCCAUGAGCAGGUUGAAGUGCCGGUAACACGGCAUGGAGGACCGAACCGAUAAGCGUUGAAAAGCUUCCGGAUGACUUGUGGGUAGGGGUGAAAGGCUAAUCAAACUGAGAGAUAGCUCGUACUCCCCGAAAUGUUUUUAGGAACAGCCUUGCGGAGAGUAUCGCAGAGGUAGAGCUACGGAUAGGAUGCGGGGGUUUCACCGCCUGCCAAGUCCUGACAAACUCCGAAUGCUGCGAUAUAUACGCGGGAGUGAGGCCAUGGGUGCUAAUGUCCGUGGCCGAGAGGAGAAGAAUCCAGACUAACGUCUAAGGCCCCCAAAUGCGUGUUAAGUUGAAAAUAACGGGGUGCCGGAGCAGAGACAGCCAGGAUGUUGGCUUGGAAGCAGCCAUACAUUUAAAGAGUGCGUAACAGCUCACUGGUCGAGCGCCGGCGCAUGGAUAAUAAACGGGCAUGAAACACGCUGCCGAAGACAUAGACUCGCGAGAGUGGUAGGGGAGCAUUCCAUAGGCGCGGAAGGUGAGCCGGGAGGUUUGCUGGAGCGUAUGGAAAAGCAAAUGUAGGCAUAAGUAACGAGAAGGCGGGCGAGAAACCCGCCCACCGAAAGACCAAGGGUUCCUGAUCAACGCUAAUCGGAUCAGGGUAAGUCGGGACCUAAGGAUAAGCCGAAGGGCGAAGCCGAUGGGAAGCCGGUAAAUAUUCCGGCACUGAGUGCGACUGCGAAGCGGGGACAGAGGAGUGAACCGUACGCGUACGGACGAAAGAGUACGUUGAAGGGGGUAGAUGGAUGCCGGACAGGGAAGACCGUCCGGGAUGUCGAGCCUGAUAGUACCCCGAGGCCACGGCCGAGGGGAUAGAUACGGAAAUCAUACUUUCAAGAAAAGCCGCUAAGCGUCAGGUCGCAGCCACCCGUACCGUAAACCGACACAGGUGGUCGAGGAGAGUAUCCAAAGGUGCUCGAGAGAUUCAUGGCCAAGGAACUAGGCAAAAUGACCCUGUAACUUCGGGAGAAAGGGUGCCUUCCGCGAGGGAGGUCGCAGAGAAAUGGCCCAGGCGACUGUUUAACAAAAACACAAGGCUUUGCGAAAUCGCAAGAUGAAGUAUAAGGCCUGACACCUGCCCGGUGCCGGAAGGUUAAGAGGAGAGGUCAGCUACGGCGAAGCUUUGAAUCGAAGCCCCGGUAAACGGCGGCCGUAACUAUAACGGUCCUAAGGUAGCGAAAUUCCUUGUCGGGUAAGUUCCGACCUGCACGAAUGGUGUAACGAUCUGGGUACUGUCUCGGCCAUGAGCUCGGUGAAAUUGAAGUAACGGUGAAGAUGCCGUUUACCCGUAACGGGACGGAAAGACCCCGUGAACCUUCACUACAGCUUAACAUAGAUUUUGGGUACGUGCUGUGUAGGAUAGGUGGGAGACAGAGAGGCGUGUGCGCCAGCAUGCGCGGAGUCGACGUUGAAAUACCACCCUUUAUUUACUUGAAAUCUAACUCCCGGAAGAGGGAGGACGGUGUUUGGCGGGUAGUUUGACUGGGGUGGUCGCCUCCAAAAGCGUAACGGAGGCUUUCAAAGGUACCCUCAGCACGGUUGGUAACCGUGCGGUGAGCGCAAUAGUAGAAGGGUGCUUGACAGUGAGACAAACAAGUCGAGCUGGUAGGAAACUAGGAUAUAGUGAUCCGGUGGUUCCGCAUGGAAGGGCCAUCGCUCAAAGGAUAAAAGGUACUCCGGGGAUAACAGGCUGAUCACUCCCAAGAGCUCACAUCGACGGAGUGGUUUGGCACCUCGAUGUCGGCUCGUCACAUCCUGGGGCUGGAGAAGGUCCCAAGGGUUCGGCUGUUCGCCGAUUAAAGUGGCACGCGAGCUGGGUUCAGAACGUCGCGAGACAGUUCGGUCCCUAUCUGUUAUGGGCGUAGGAAGUUUGCCGGGAGCUGACUCUAGUACGAGAGGACCGAGUCGGACGUACCGCUGGUGGACCGGUUGUGGCGUCAGCUGCACCGCCGGGUAGCUAAGUACGGAAGAGAUAAGCGCUGAAAGCAUCUAAGUGCGAAACUCGCCUGAAGAUGAGACUUCCCCAUAGGGCCGUCGGAGACGACGACGUCGAUAGGCCGCAGAUGUAAAGUCAGCAAUGGCAAAGUCGAGCGGUACUAAUAGCCCGAGAGACUUCCUGGA